GUCUCUGGUAGUUCAGUGGUAGAAUACCGGCUUGUCACGCCGGUGGCCGAGGUUGUGAGUUGUUGUCCAGUCUUCACACGGAGGAA